AGAGUUUGAUCCUGGCUCAGGAUGAACGUUGGCGGCGUGCCUAAUACAUGCAAGUCGAACGGUAAGGCGCCCUUCGGGGUGCUGGAGAGUGGCGGACGGGUGAGUAACACGUAACUGAUCUGCCCUUUAGACUGGGAUAACCUUUGGAAACAGAGGCUAAUACCGGAUGAUAAAUCGGUAGUUAGAGAGCCGGUAGUGAAAGUGAAAGCGCUAGGGGAUGAGGUUGCGGGCCAUCAGCUAGUUGGUGAGGUAAAGGCUCACCGAGGCGAUGACGGCUAGGGGACCUGAGAGGGUGGCCCCCCACACUGGGACUGAGACACGGCCCAGACUCCUACGGGAGGCAGCAGUAAGGGAUAUUGCACAAUGGGCGGAAGCCUGAUGCAGCGACGCCGCGUGGGUGAAGAAGGUUUUCGGAUCGUAAAGCCCUUUUCUAUGUGACGAGGAAGGACGGUAGCAUAGGAAUAAGUGUCGGCUAACUACGUGCCAGCAGCCGCGGUAAAACGUAGGACACGAACGUUAUCCGGAGUUACUGGGCGUAAAGAGCGCGUAGGCGGUUGGUUAAGUUACCUAUGAAAGAUACCGGCUAAACUGGUAUAAGUUGGGUGAAACUGGUC
rnacentral:rRNA from 1 species